rnacentral:rRNA from 1 species
UUCCGGUUGAUCCUGCCGGAGGUCACUGCUAUUGGGAUUCGACUAAGCCAUGCGAGUCGAGAGGGUUCGGCCCUCGGCUGACGGCUCAGUAACACGUGGAUAAUCUGCCCUUAGGUGGAGGAUACCCUCGGGAAACUGAGAAUAAUACUCCAUAGGUCUAGGAUGCUGGAAUGCAUCUAGACUGAAAACUCCGGUGCCUAAGGAUGAGUCUGCGGACUAUCAGGUUGUAGUCAGGGUAAAGACCUGACUAGCCUACGACGGAUAUGGGUUGUGAGAGCAAUAACCCAGAGAUGAUAUCUGAGACACGAUAUCAGGCCCUACGGGGCGCAGCAGGCGCGAAAACUUCACACUGUGCGAAAGCACGAUGAGGGAAUCCCAAGUGCCAGCUCGUAAGAGUUGGCUGUUUUUCUGUCUAAAACACAGAGAGAGUAAGAGCUGGGUAAGACGGGUGCCAGCCGCCGCGGUAAUACCUGCAGCUCGAGUGGUGACCGUUAUUAUUGGGCCUAAAACGUCCGUAGCCGGUUUAGUAAAUGCCUGGGUAAAUCGUGUAGCUUAACUAUACGAAUUCCGGGUAGACUGCUAAGCUUGAGACCGGGAGAGGCUAGAGGUACUCCUGGGGUAGAGGUGAAAUUCUGUAAUCCUGGGGGGACCACCAGUGGCGAAGGCGUCUAGCUAGAACGGAUCUGACGGUGAGGGACGAACCCUGGGGCGCAAACCGGAUUAGAUACCCGGGUAGUCCAGGGUGUAAACGCUGCUUGCUUGAUGUAGUUGGGCUCCGAGCCCUAUUAGUGUCGGAGAGAAGUGGUAAGCAGCUGCCUGGGAAGUACGGUCGCAGGCUGAACUUAAGGGAUUUGCGGGGGACCCCACAAGGCGUGAAGCUUGCUGUUCAAUUGGAAUAAAGCCGGU